rnacentral:sRNA from 1 species
GCUGGGUGCAGUGGUGCACGCCUGUAAUCCCAGCAACUCUGGAGGCUGAGGCAGAAGGAUCACAAGUUCAAGACCAGCCUAGGCAACUUAGUGAGGCCCUAAGAAACUUAGUGAAACCCUGUCUCAA